CCUACGGGGGGCUGCAGUAACGAAUCUUCCGCAAUGCACGAAAGUGUGACGGAGCGACGCCGCGUGUGGGACGAAGCCCUUCGGGGUGUAAACCACUGUCAGGGGUUCUACCCCAGAGGAAGGGACGGCUAACUCUGUGCCAGCAGCCGCGGUAAGACAGAGGUCCCGAGCGUUAGGCGGAAUCACUGGGCUUAAAGCGUGUGUAGGCGGAUUUGUAAGUACCUUGUGAAAUCCCACGGCUCAACCGUGGAACUGCUUGGUAUACUGCUUAUCUUGGGCCAUCUAGGGGCUACCGGAACAAGUGGUGGAGCGGUGAAAUGCGUGAUAUCACUUGGAACGCCAAUGGUGAAAACAGGUAGCUGGAUGUGCCGACGCUGAGACACGAAAGCCAGGGGAGAAACGGGAUUAGAUACCCUUGUAGUC
rnacentral:rRNA from 1 species